AAGUCGUUACAAGGUUUCCGUAGGUGAACCUGCGGAAGGAUCAUUAACACGUAUCCAAACGUUAAAACCCCCCCCGUGAACCUUCAUCCUGCUCUUAGUCAGUGUCGGAAAGUGUCAUUGAUUGUGCAAGGAUAGCGCUUCUACGAUUCCUGUAGACCGUACACUCGGGCAGGAGCUUUGCCAAAGGGUCCCCAUGCCCCCUAAUAACCCCACAGUUUAAUGUGAAGCUCAAUGUAAUACAUUGGGUAAAAAAACCGAACAACUGUUAACAAUGGAUAUCUUGGUUCUC
rnacentral:misc_RNA from 1 species